UCGACUUCAACGAAUGUUCCUUCUACUUCUGCUAUAAGUGUUACAUCUUCAGCGGCUAUUAUGAGUAGUAAGUUUAAAAACUAUUAUUUGCAAUGUAUACACCUUUCCUCUGUACAUGUAUACACCUCUCUUUAUCAAUUGCAAAUUAUUAUAACACUUUUUUUUCAUCUUUAGUUCCAUGUGCACAACUUUCUACUGGUAAAUUUAUGAUUUAGAAAUGUUUCUGAAUGGUUAUUGAAUUUAUGUUCCUAUUUAUAUACACUAUUUAAUUCAUUAGUAUUGUGUUAUCCCUCAAAGUGUGGUAUAAUGAAAUUAUUACUCUCAUUAACAUUUUAAAAGCUAUCAUUGAUUAAUAUGUUGUUCAUGUUAUUUAUUCAUCCUAUCACUUUCACUAAUCAUUGUUUUGUAUUACAUUUUAAAGCAGAGCAGCUUUAAUGAUUGUUACAUCUGUAACUUACUGUUGAGAAUUUCAAAUUACUUUGUAUACAAUUUUUUUUUAACUAUUUUUUGUUGAAUCUACACAGACAAUCACUGGUAAGUUUGUAUAAGUUUGUAUGUGUAAAUGAUUAUAGAGAUAAUUAUCUAGUACUUUUUAAUCUGUGGAUAGAUUUCAAAGAUUACCAAUUUCAAAGUCAGUAUUUAGUUUUUUAAUUUUUUAUUACAAAUUUUGAAUUUUUGGUUAUAUCUUCGCCUUCAAGGAAUGGUAAGUUUAACAAUUAUUACUUUUUAAUGUGUGUAUAUAUUUUCGAUGACUGCAAUAUGUAUUUUUUGUAAAUAAUUUUUAA